GCAGGUCUGCAGCAGGCAGAGGAGAGGUGCGCUGUAUGCCAGAGGUCCUUCAGCCUGCGACCACGAUCUGCGGGGCUUCGGCUCACCCCAGCCCCUGACGGACCUCUCCUGCUCCAAACCCUGUGGAGAAGCAGAAAUAACCGCUCAGAGCGUUGCCUGACCCGCCGGCUGUUUGUCCCAUGCCAAGCCCCACCGUGUGGCCGUGCCCUGGGAGAGGAACCCGGCCAGGAUCACGGCAAGCCCCUGCUCAGCUUCAGAUAUGAAAGCUGAGGCACGGAGACAUCUGAUGAGGCUCCGCCGCUGACUCACUGUUUGAUGUUAGGCAGAGCUGCGAGCGUGAUCAGAUAGCAUUGUGCAGAGCGCUCACCAGACGGCUGUGUCACCCGGGAGGAAAAGCAGCGCUCGGGCACGGCGGCGUCUGCACCCGCAGCUGUCCCCCCGUGCCCCGCAGGGACCCUUAGGCUCGGUGACCGGGGACGUGGUGGCCUUGCCCUGUCCCCCCCCCAGACCUGCUGGCAGAGGGUUGUGUGGCCGAACCCCAAAGCCCCUCUCACGAUGGUGACAGCAGACAGGGCUCGAGGCGGUGCCGCUGCUGGGCCAGGCAGUGCCGCGGAGGCGCGCAGGGCAGCGCGGGUGUGCGGAGCGUGCCGAGGGCUCGUUCUCACGCGAUGGAGCACGCAGCCGGCGGGGAGCUGGUUAAGCAGCGCGAGCGCCCCGGCUGCCUGGGUUUGGCUCGCAGCGUGGGGCAGGGCAGGCUGUCACAGCGAGGCAGGGAUGUUUUAUUAAACAGAGCCUCAAAGUGGGCUAAAGUCUUUUAUUAUGAAUUGUAAUGUCCACAAAUUUUGCCACUUCCAAAUAGUUUCCACCUACGUAUUCCUCCCACUGCUGCAUUCAGUGCUGGCAAACAUCUCCGCGCACGGAGGAGCGGCUUUCAUUUGAAUAGUCUGCAGGCAAGUUUCGCUGAGCGGUGCCAGCGUCCUGCCCGCAGCACGCACGUGCCCAGCAGCCACCCGGUGCCAUUUACUUGCCCAGGACGCCACAGGGAGAGCAGCUCUCCCCGGAUUUUCCCAGUGUUUUGUCCAAACACGGUCCGUGGUAGCCCGAAACGAUGUCACGAAACACAAAAUCUCAACUUCUAACUCACAGGCGAUUCCUUUCAUCGCACCAG